GCAAUGCCCGAAAGGGUGACUAUGCGACGCCGCGUGAGCGAUGAAGUCCUUCGGGACGUAAAGCUCUGUCAGGUGGGAUGAAUUUUUCGACCUUAACAGGGUUGGAAUUUGACCGUACCACCAGAGGAAGCCACGGCUAACUCCGUGCCAGCAGCCGCGGUAAUACGGAGGUGGCAAGCGUUGUUCGGAUUUAUUGGGUGUAAAGGGCAUGUAGGUGUCCUAGUAAGUCCUGGCUAGAAAUCCUUCGGCUCAACCGAAGAACGUGUCAGGAAACUGCGUGGGAUUGAGUACGGAAGAGGAGAACGGAAUUCCGGUGUAAGGGUGAAAUCUGUAGAUAGUCGGGAGGAACA
rnacentral:rRNA from 1 species